UACAGAGGUCUCAAGCGUUGUUCGGAUUCAUUGGGCGUAAAGGGUGCGUAGGUGGCGCCGUAAGUCAGGUGUGAAAUCUCGGGGCUUAACCCCGAAACUGCAUUUGAUACUGCGGCGCUCGAGUGCUGGAGAGGAGAUUGGAAUUUACGGUGUAGCAGUGAAAUGCGUAGAUAUCGUAAGGAAGACCAGUGGCGAAGGCGGGUCUCUGGACAGUUCCUGACGCUGAGGCACGAAGGUCAGGGGAGCAAACGGG
rnacentral:rRNA from 1 species